CUUACUCUUUAUGCAUUCAUCAAAUUGCAUGGUAAUGGUUUAUUCUUACUAGCCCACCAACAGUACCAACCAUUCAGCGGAUGUGGUAUACCUGCUAGCUGCUGGAUUAUCGCGAGGGGAUGUAGCUGAAAGGCUGGAAUGUGGUGAGCAGGAUGCCUGCUUAUUGUUUUCCUCUUUGCUGGCCCGAAUGCCUAGUCUUUUUAUUGGGAUCAACCUCUGGUUGAGAUGCUUCUUGUUCUUUAGUUUCCACUUAAGCCCAUUUUUUUGUUGAUAGAUAAAAUCUCUGAUCUAUUAUUUUUCAUCUCAUGGCAUUAGAGGG
rnacentral:misc_RNA from 1 species